GUGGGGAAUCUUAGACAAUGGGCGCAAGCCUGAUCCAGCCAUGCCGCGUGUGUGAAGAAGGUCUUCGGAUUGUAAAGCACUUUAAGUAGGGAGGAAGGGCAGUAAGUUAAUACCUUGCUGUUUUGACGUUACCGACAGAAUAAGCACCGGCUAACUUCGUGCCAGCAGCCGCGGUAAUACGAAGGGUGCAAGCGUUAAUCGGAAUUACUGGGCGUCAAGCGCGCGUAGGUGGUUUUGUAAGUUGGAGGUGAAAUCCCCGGGCUCAACCUGGGAACUGCCUCCAAAACUGCAUGACUAGAGUACGGUAGAGGGUAGGGGAAUUUCCUGUGUAGCGGUGAAAUGCGUAGAUAUAGGAAGGAACACCAGUGGCGAAGGCGACUACCUGGACUGAUACUGACACUGAGGUGCGAAAGCGUGGGGAGCAAACAGGAUUAGAUACCCUAGUAGUCC
rnacentral:rRNA from 1 species